rnacentral:rRNA from 1 species
GACGAACGCUGGCGGCGUGCUUAACACAUGCAAGUCGAACGGAAAGGCCCUGCUUUUGUGGGGUGCUCGAGUGGCGAACGGGUGAGUAACACGUGAGUAACCUGCCCUUGACUUUGGGAUAACUUCAGGAAACUGGGGCUAAUACCGGAUAGGAGCUCCUGCUGCAUGGUGGGGGUUGGAAAGUUUCGGCGGUUGGGGAUGGACUCGCGGCUUAUCAGCUUGUUGGUGGGGUAGUGGCUUACCAAGGCUUUGACGGGUAGCCGGCCUGAGAGGGUGACCGGGCACGUUGGGAGGACGGUAGCGCGCAGGCUGGUAGGGGGGGGCGCAGUGGGGGCGGGUGGGCUAGGGGCGGAAGGCUGAUGAAGCAAUGCCGCGUGGGGGAAGACGGGAUUCAGGUUGAAAACCACGGACGCAUGUGAUAAAGCGUGAGCAGCGGGAGUGGGAAAAGAACCAACGGCUAACUAGGUG